rnacentral:rRNA from 1 species
CAGAGGGGGCAAGCGUUAUUCGGAAUUAUUGGGCAUAAAGGGCGCGUAGGCGGCUUUUCAAGUGACGGGUGAAAUCCCUCGGCUUAACCGAGGAACUGCCUGUCAGACUGGAAGGCUUGAGACCGGGAGAGGUGAGUGGAAUUCCCAGUGUAGCGGUGAAAUGCGUAGAUAUUGGGAGGAACACCAGUGGCGAAGGCGGCUCACUGGACCGGAACUGACGCUGAGGCGCGAAAGCGUGGGGAGCAAACAGGAUUAGAUACCCUGGUAGUCCACGCCGUAAACGAUGAGUGCUUGGUGUAGCGGGUAUCGACCCCUGCUGUGCCGAAGUCAACACAUUAAGCACUCCGCCUGGGGAGUACGGUCGCAAGACUG